rnacentral:rRNA from 1 species
AAACAAAACUAUUCGCCAGAGUACUACCGGCAAUAGCUUAAAACUCAAAGGACUUGGCGGUGCUUUACACCCUUCUAGAGGAGCCUGUUCUAUAAUCGAUAAACCCCGAUAAACCUCACCAUUCCUUGCUAAUACAGUCUAUAUACCGCCAUCUUCAGCAAACCCUAAAAAGGUACAAAAGUAAGCACAAUCAUAAUACAUAAAAACGUUAGGUCAAGGUGUAACCUAUGGAACGGAAAGAAAUGGGCUACAUUUUCUAAUCUAAGAAAAUCCAACACGAAAGUUAUUAUGAAAUUAAUAACCAAAGGAGGAUUUAGCAGUAAACUAAGAAUAGAGUGCUUAGUUGAAUUAGGCCAUGAAGCACGCACACACC